CUGUCUCCGUCUCUCUCAAAAUAAAUAAAUAAACUUAAAAGAACUAUACAUCUAAAAAAAUAGCCAAAAUAGCAAAUUGGAUGUGAACGAGACAGAAAGUUAAUUUUAAGAUGAUUACUUAGAAGAAUUCAUAUGAUUUCUGUAUCUGGUCAAGAUGGAGUAACUAGAAUCAAAUUUAUCCUCCCGUUUGAAACAACCGAACAAUGGACAAAAAUACAUGGAGCGGUGGUUUGCGAGAACUAGAUAUCAGAUCAUGAAAGGUAAUGAUCACUGAGAAGUGAGAAUUCUUCCCAAACCUAGGUGAGCCCCAUAAUUUACCCCAGCAUACUUCUUCAAGAAAGUUCCCAGACCAUGGCAUGGGGAGGGGAAAUUUAAACUCACCCCGGAAAACUUUCCAAGCUGAAAAGAUGUAGCUGAGAGUCAGGGAAGUCAAGUCAACUGGAAUUGGCAGGGCAGAGUACCAAAGAGAAGAGAGAGAACUCAGGAGAUUUGCAAAGAGGCUCCUGCAAGAAUUUAGGUGACUACCCAUCAAUGCUUGCAUGUGAGAAAAUACCCAAGACCAGGGAAAGACCCACCCAAAAGAAUUAGAGGUGAUAGUUACCUAUGCACAUAGAGGACUAGGAAUGAUGCUUAUUCCCACCAGCCAGACUAGAAAAACCUCACUGUUCACAGAGCAUUUGCUAUAGCACAUGUCAGAAACUGUAACAGGAUAUGAGAUUUUAUUUUAUUUGCAAGCCAACAAGCAGCCAUGAAGGCUGGUGGAAGACACAAGACUCCUAAGCAUGAGAGGAGGAGUGUAUUGAUUAUUUAGAGAAAUCACAGUACCAAGAGUAUCUGCUGUUUUUCUAACAAUUCUCUGAGUCCCAGUUCCCCCAGGGUGACUCAAAGAAGGCUAGAUGAGCCUUGCACAUGUGGUGGGUUGCCUUAUAGGAGAGAAACUUGAGCUAUUUCCGGUAACACCGAAAAGUAUGAAACACUUAGGGAUAAAAGAUGUGAAAGACCUACCUGUGCACUGAAGACUACUGAGCAUUGCCGAACAAAUUUAAGGAAGACCCUCCAAAUUGAAGACGUACACCAUGUUCACAGGACUGGUGUUUUUAAAAGACGAGGAAGAGACACCAGGGAUGCAUGCACGCGGAGAAAAGACCAUGUGAGGACGCAUAAGAAGGUGGCCAUUGAUAAGUCAAAGAGAGACGCCUCAGGAGAAACCACCAUGCUGGCACCUUGCAGCCUCCAGAACUGUGAGAAAAUAAAGAAACAUCCCUGUAAACAAGAAAGGGACAGAUUACAUCAUCUGGUUGGUGUUAAACAACAGAACAGGUGAGUACUGGCAAGACGAAUAGGCUUUAUUUCAUUUGAACAAAUUACUCUUGGACUC